rnacentral:lncRNA from 1 species
CUCUCUCUCUCCCUCUUCCUCUCCUUCUUGUCCUCGCCGCCGCUCCACCACCGCUCCACAGUUGCCGCCCACCACCACCGCUACACUGCUGUUCUGAGACGGAGGGAGCCGCGCACGCAGCAGCGUUGCUCCGCCACUGCUGACUCGCCCCACCCCUGAAUUCCAAUUCGCCUCGCCGGAGUCGUUGCAGCGGCUGGGCAGAUCUGGC